GCUGGUGUUAUUGGACUGUGGUGUUACGUGUUUAUGCUGGUGUUAUUGGACUGUGGUGUUACGUGUUUAUGCUGGUGUUAUUGGACUGUGGUGUUACGUGUUUAUGCUGGUGUUAUUGGACUGUGGUGUUACAUGUUUAUGCUGGUGUUAUUGGACUGUGGUGUUACAUGUUUAUGCUGGUGUUAUUGGACUGUGGUGUUACGUGUUUAUGCUGGUGUUAUUGGACUGUGGUGUUAUAUGUUUAUGCUGGUGUUAUUGGACUGUGGUGUUGUAUGUUUAUGCUGGUGUUAUUGGACUGUGUUACCACCUGUUUAUGCUGGUGUUAUUGGACUGUGUUACAUGUUUAUGCUUGUGUUAUUGGACUGUGUUGUUGUUGUUAUGUGUUAAGGCUGGUGUUAUUGGACUGUGUUGUUGUUAUGUGUUAAGGCUGGUGUUAUUGGACUGUGUUGUUGUUAUGUGUUAAGGCUGGUGUUAUUGUACUGUGUUGUUAUGUGUUAAGGCUGGUGUUAUUGGACUGUGUUGUUGUUAUGGUUUUAAGGCUGGUGUUAUUGGACUGUGUUGUUGUUAUGGUUUUAAGGCUGGUGUUAUUGGACUGUGUUGUUGUUAUGGUUUUAAGGCUGGUGUUAUUGGACUGUGUUGUUGUUAUGGUUUUAAGGCUGGUGUUAUUGGA
rnacentral:lncRNA from 1 species